CAGCCGCCGCGGUAAUACGUAGGGGGCAAGCGUUGUCCGGAAUCAUUGGGCGUAAAGCGCGUGUAGGCGGCUCGAUAAGUCUGCUGUGAAAGUCCAGGGCUCAACCCUGGAAUGCCGGUGGAAACUGUCGAGCUCGAGUCCGGAAGAGGCAAGUGGAAUUCCUGGUGUAGCGGUGAAAUGCGCAGAUAUCAGGAGGAACACCAAUGGCGAAGGCAGCCUGCUGGGACGGUACUGACGCUGAGACGCGAAAGCGGGGGGAGCAAACAGGAUUAGAUACCCCUGUAGUCCCUGUCUCUUAUAA
rnacentral:rRNA from 1 species